rnacentral:tRNA from 1 species
GUGGUGUAAUGGUAAGCAUUGCUGGCUUGUACAUAGUUGGCCUGGGUUUGAUUCCCAGC